GGGUCGGGACAGGACUAUAGGGGCGGUUCGGGUCCCGUAACGCUUGUCUGUGCCCGAAGUGUGGGGAUUACCUUGUAUUGCAGUGCUAUUGGUGUGCCGUACCCUAAUGGGGAUGUUGUGUGGUAGCGUGGGUUAACACACGUUUGAAAAGGGGUGGUGUGCUACGGGGAUAUAGCGGGACCGAACUCUUUGUGAAUCCAGAUCCGACCCGAUGGGUUGCUGCAUGAAUUGUACUGAAUAAAAUUAUCUUUGUAAUUGUAACUGUGGUCUGGUGGUGCUCUAUUCUCCGUUUACAGCCUCUUACGCUAGUUUGUGUUCGUUACAUUAUAUUAUUAAAUAAUUACUCAUCAAAUGCUUGAUUCCGAGUCGGCAAGUAGAUAAAAGUUGUCAUAGCUCAGUGUACCGCGUGUUUAUCUUAACAUGAACAAUCAAGCGUUUAUAUUGGACUUGUUGUGAUUUAUAACUUCUACGUUCACAAAAGGUCUAUACUGUGAUGGACCGGACGCUUCCGGUCGGAACUGGUUUCAAACUUGUGCGCAUACGCAGAGUGUUGCCACCAGGCGCAUUUCGCGCAUGCACAGAUUGCAAAUGAAGAGACCGUUGGAAUUCAUCGAAGUUUUAGAUUUGAAUGGAUUAGAUAAUUCGCCAAAUAAAAGCACAGCUAAACUCACAGGGCUGAUGAGGACCGGGGAAAACUGAUACUGGGAUUCCAUGAGAUACCAUAUUGACCGUCUUGUCUGAAAUCAAACAUUGGUUCAAAGUUUACAGGAUAGAACAGGUACCCAGCAGAGAGAAGUCCAUUUCUAAGGAAGUUGUCUGCGAAGGGCUGCCACCCGUAGCGGUGCCCAGGGAGCUGGGGGUUAAGGGCCUUGCUCAAGGACCCACAGGCUGAGGCUGGCCCCCAAGAUGCACUGAGGAUGCAAGCUGAUCCCUAGCAAUUCUGACUCAAGACAGUCUAAAGUUUGUCCAUGUAUCUGUUUAGAACAAUAUGAAGCCCCUGGGGUCAGAAGAAAAAUGUACAGAAUUAUAUAAAACUAAAUUGGAAAAUACAAACUUAAAAAAUGAAGAAAAUAUGUAACAGCAGGUCAACAGCCCAAUUUGGUACUUUCUCUACCCAUUUCAAAGUGACGAACCCCCCACACUGGUCACGAAGCUCAAGGACCUGGGACUGAGCUCCUCCCUUGAGUAGACUGUACAGCCACACACAGCUCCAGCAUCAUGGUGAAAUUUGCAGAUGACAUGUUUGUGGGUCUACAACAACCAAGGAAGGUCAGGCUGUUCAUAAUGGAAGCACUGGUGGAGAAAAGGGUGGUGCUGAAACUACCCCUGUACAAUGAAGCCAAUCCUGAAGAAUGAAGCAAAUCCUGAAAAAUGAAGCUCAUCCUGAAGACUGAAGUGUAUCUUGAUCAAUGAAGCUUAUUCUGAAGAGUGAAGCCAAUCCUGAACAAUGAAGCCCAUCUUGAGGAGUUACGCCUAUCCUUUGCUUUUCUCUUUUUCUAAUAAAGUACACACAUACUAUUA